AUGGUAUUUUCCAUGAUUCAAUCUAUUUUUCAGGCUUCGCCACAGAGAUGGGGUGGACUAGGGAGGGAGAUAAAGGUGUCCUCACUGUGUCUCUGCUGUCUUUGGUUUGGGGCUGAGCAAGAGAUGAUGAGCCAUUCUCUCAGAGAGUAUCAGCCGGUUCCUUUCAUAGCCAAGCUCAUCAGCAUUUCUGGUGAUUGUGCAUUGUGGUAUCUGCAAACGAGCGAUAUAUAUUCCACGGGCCAUCCUUUCAGGGUGUUUGUAAGAUUCAUGUUAAAAGAGAUGGGCUUUGGUUUGCUUCCAAGUCACGAAAAUGAAGAAAAUGGACUCAGUAGAUUCAGCACGUGUCCUUUUGGAGAGACUAUUCAUCCCGUGGGAGCAUGUGAGAGCUCUGCUGGGGUGCUGAUGAUUCAGUUCUACUUUAUGCUGCAGAAAAUGAAACAAUAAGUGCAUUCCAUGUGACACUUGCGCUUAUUAGUGGAGAAAGAACGGAUCUGCUAAGAAGAGCAACACUCUAUUAUGUGGAUGUCACUUCUGAUUGUCAAGUUGCAAAAAACAUUCAGCUAAGUCUUCCGCUUGUUAAACCUGAAAGGGCGGUUUACAGGUUUUGUUAUUUUCCUCGUGUGACCUAUUAAGCAUUCCAUUUAAUUUGCAAAGACAGAAGGAGUGUUUUUGAUGGCUUGGCCCCUUUGGGAUGAAUGCUGAGAGCCACGUUCACUGUUAGUACACUACCUAUGGAUCUGGGCUUCUCGAUUAAGACAGUUGGAGUCUUAACCUGGGGGCCCCCAGAGUACCAGGAGCUAUAGUGCUCCUAGGGUAUGGUGAUAUGUCGCCUCACAGAGGUUCACGGCAGGACUGUUGGACCCUCAUCAUAAGCAGUCAUUUCUCCUCUGAAAGGGAUCGCAAGAGAGCUCAGUGUGCCAUCCUGUCUUUGUAGCAGAUCCUUGCCUAUGAGCAAAAGUCUGUUUCCAUGACCACCCAUGCCUUUAUGCCAGGGUCAGCUGUUUGGACACAUGGAGGAAAGGGGGAGGACUAUAGCUGCUGUCAGUGAAUGAAAGUUGUAUAACAUGAUUUAAGUAGAAAGAGAGGCAGCAGAUUAACGCAUUGAAUGUCCUGAGUCUCUUGGAGUCCGGAAAUUAUCACCUGAUAUUUAAUUUUAAUAAACAUUAUUUGUAGCUACAGAAAGGUCAACUCCUUGAUUCUGGAAGGAGCCCAACCUGCUUAAAGAGGACUCAGUAGGCUCUGCAUCCUAAUUGGGGUUCAGAUUCACUGAAUGAUAUUGGACAAGCCACUUGGCUCUUCUGAUGAAGUUUCCUUACUUACAAAUCAAGUUAAAACCCAAUGACCCACCUCCAAGAGUAAUGGAAAUAAAAACAAAAAUAAAUAAAUGGGACCGAAUUAAACUUAAAAGCUUUUCCACAAUGAAGGAAACUAUAGGCAAGGUGAAAAGGCAACCUUCAGAAUGGGAGAAAAUAAUAGUAAACAAAACAACUGACAAAGAACAACUGUCCAAAAUAUACAAGCAGCUCAUGCAGCUCAAUUCCAGAAAAAUAAAUGACCCAAUCAAAAAGUGGGUCAAAGAACUAAACAGACAUUUCUCCAAAGAAAACAUACAAAUGACUAGCAAACACAUGAAAAGAUGCUCAACAUCACUCAUUAUCAGAGAAAUGCAAAUCAAAACCACAAUGAGGUACCAUCUCAUGCCAGUCAGAAUGGCUGCUAUCAAAAAGUCUACAAACGAAUAAUGCAGGACAGGAUGUGGAGAAAAGGGAAUCCUUUUACACUGUUGGUAGAAAUUCAAACUGGUACAGCCACUAUGGAGAAUAGUCUGGAGAUUCCUUUAAAAACUAGAAAUAGAACUGCCAUAUGACCCAGCAAUUCCACUGCUGGGCAUACACACCGAGGAAACUAGAACUGAAAGAGACACAUGUACCCCAAUGUUCAUUGCAGCACUGUUUACGAUGUCAUCAUCUUAGAUGUCCACUGGCAGACAAAUGGAUAAGGAAGUUGUGGUACAUAUACAAAAUGGAAUAUUCAGUUCAGUUCAGUUCAGUUCAGUCAUUCAGUCAUGUCCAACUCUUUGCCACCCCAUGAAUUGCAGCACUCCAGGACUCCCUGUCCAUCACCAACUCCUGGAGUUCACUCAAACUCACGUCCAUCGAGUCAGUGAUGCCAUCCAGCCAUCUCAUACUCUGUCAUCCCCUUCUCCUCCUGCCCCCAAUCCCUCCCAGCAUCAGGGUCUUUUCCAAUGAGUCAACUCUUCACAUGAGAUGGCCAAGUACUGGAGUUUCAGCGUCAACAUCAUUCCUUCCAAAGAAAUCCCAGGGCUGAUCUCCUUCAGAAUGGACUGGUUGGAUCUCCUUGCAGUCCAAGGGACUCUCAAGAGUUUGCUCCAACACCACAGUUGAGAACCAUCAAAACUUUGGUACUC
ensembl:lincRNA